rnacentral:rRNA from 1 species
GACGAACGCUGGCGGCGUGCUUAACACAUGCAAGUCGAGCGGUAAGGCCCUUUCGGGGGUACACGAGCGGCGAACGGGUGAGUAACACGUGGGUGACCUGCCCUCAGCUCUGGGAUAAGCCCGGGAAACUGGGUCUAAUACCGGAUAUGACUUCAUGACGCAUGUUGUGGAGUGGAAAGCCUUGUGCGGCUGAGGAUGGGCCCGCGGCCUAUCAGCUUGUUGGUGGGGUGANGGCCUACCAAGGCGACGACGGGUAGCCGGCCUGAGAGGGCGACCGGCCACACUGGGACUGAGAUACGGCCCAGACUCCUAC